rnacentral:rRNA from 1 species
AUAUGCUUGUCUCAAAGAUUAAGCCAUGCAUGUGCUAAGUAUAAGCAAUAUAUACUCGUCGUAAACUGCGAAUGGCUCAUUAUAUAAGUUAUGCGUUUAUCUUCGAUAGUACCUUACUACUCUGGAUGAACCGUGGUAAUUCUAGGAGCUAAUACAUGCUAAAAAUCCCGACUUUGGAAGGGAUGUAUUUAUUAGAUUAAAAGCCAAUGCCCUUCGGGGCUCACUGGUGAUUCAUGAUAACUUCUCGAAUCGCAUGGCCUUGCGCCGGCGAUGGUUCAUUCAAAUUUCUUCCCUAUCAACUUUCGAUGUUUGGGUAUUGGCCAAACAUGGUUGCAACGGGUAACGGAGGGUUAGGGCUCGACCCCGGAGAAGGAGCCUGAGAAACGGCUACUACAUCUAAGUGAAGGCAGCAGGCGCGCAAAUUACCCAAUCCCAAUUCGGGGAGGUAGAUGACGUAUAAAUACUGAUACAGGGCUCUUUAGGGUCUUGUAAUUGGAAUGAGUACAAUUUAAAUCCCUUAACAAGGAACAAUUGGAGGGCAAGUCUGGUGCCAGCAGCCGCGGUAAUUCCAGCUCCAAUAGCGUAUAUUAAAGUUGUUGUGGUUAAAAAGCUCGUAGUUGAACCUUGGGCCUGGCUGGCCGGUCCGCCUCACCGCGUGCACUGGUCCGGCCGGGCCUUUCCUUCUGUGGAACCCCAUGCUCUUCACUGGGYGYSGCGGGGAAACAGGACUUUUACUUUGAAAAAAUUAGAGUGCUCMAGGCAGGCCUAUGCUCGAAUACAUUAGCAUGGAAUAAUGGAAUAGGACGUGUGGUUCUAUUUUGUUGGUUUCUAGGACCGCCGUAAUGAUUAAUAGGGACAGUCGGGGGCAUCAGUAUUCAAUUGUCAGAGGUGAAAUUCUUGGAUUUAUUGAAGACUAACUACUGCGAAAGCAUUUGUCAAGGAUGUUUUCAUUAAUCAGGAACGAAAGUUAGGGGAUCGAAAACGAUCAGAUACCGUUGUAGUCUUAACCAUAAACUAUGCCGACUAGGGAUCGGACGAUGCUAUCAUUUGGCUCGUUCGGCACCUUACGAGAAAUCAAAGUGCUUGGGCUCCAGGGGGAGUAUGGUCGCAAGGCUGAAACUUAAAGAAAUUGACGGAAGGGCACCACCAGGGGUGGAGCCUGCGGCUUAAUUUGACUCAACACGGGGAAACUCACCAGGUCCAGACACAAUGAGGAUUGACAGAUUGAGAGCUCUUUCUUGAUUUUGUGGGUGGUGGUGCAUGGCCGUUCUUAGUUGGUGGAGUGAUUUGUCUGCUUAAUUGCGAUAACGAACGAGACCUUAACCUGCUAAAUAGCCCGUAUUGCUUUGGCAGUACGCUGGCUUCUUAGAGGGACUAUCGGCUCAAGCCGAUGGAAGUUUGAGGCAAUAACAGGUCUGUGAUGCCCUUAGAUGUUCUGGGCCGCACGCGCGCUACACUGAUGGAGUCAGCGAGUACUUCCUUGACCGAAAGGUCCGGGUAAUCUUGUUAAACUCCAUCGUGCUGGGGAUAGAGCAUUGCAAUUAUUGCUCUUCAACGAGGAAUCCCUAGUAAGCGCAAGUCAUCAGCUUGCGUUGAUUACGUCCCUGCCCUUUGUACACACCGCCCGUCGCUACUACCGAUUGAAUGGCUCAGUGAGGCGUUCGGACUGGCCCAGGGAGGUGGGCAACUACCACCCCGGGCCGGAAAGUUCUCCAAACUCGGUCAUUUAGAGGAAGUAAAAGUCGUAACAAGGUCUCCGUUGGUGAACCAGCGGAGGG